AUGUGGAUCUAUUAUGUUAGAAUGAUCUCAAAGAAUAAUGGAAGACUGAGAAAGAGAAUGCAAAGGAGAAGAGGGAAGGAGGCAGAAGAAAGGACAAAAAUAUUUCAAAUACUAGAGAAUCUUAGCAGUCGACAUCAAGCACCACGAAAAAUUCUGACCUUCAGAGCUGGUUGGACCUGUCUCUUUGGGCUGAAGAAAAUGGCAGCACCUCUAACCUUAGACUGGGAAGAACAAGCUCCUCCCACAUCCACAGCCUGA
rnacentral:lncRNA from 1 species